UGCCAAAGGAAUCUACCACCCACCCC
rnacentral:piRNA from 1 species